ensembl:lncRNA
CUGUUACAUUACUGCUGUAGUGGUAGACUACUAGUAGCCAGAAGCGUUGCUAGGAUCACAAUACAUUCGGAGGAACCUCAAGGACAUCACCUUUACUAACCACCAGACAUGCAAAGGGCACUGUCUAAUCGCCAAAGGACGGAGUCAUUGUUUCCAAUGGAAACAAAAAAGAAAGAACAUCACAGUUAAAGGGAUAUUUGACUUAAACAUUUACAUUUCUACACCUAAAACAUGGCUAUUGUUAAGGCAUGUCCAUGUAGCAGGCAAUUUGUUGCAUAGCUGAAUACCUUAAACCCAAAUGAAUGCUGAAGAUAAGCACUUUAAUGUUAUUUUCAUUUUUGUGUCUGUGAAAAUAUUGCAUUAAUUUAAAGUGGAUAAGUGCAUAUCGCUGGAUCUACAUUACCAAUGACAGACUACUUUUGGACUGUAUUGCAUAUAGUUGUUAUUUGCAUGUUAAAUAAGUUACUUGCAGUGUAUGUAAACAUCUGUGACUGCACAAAUAGUAAUGAUGUCUUUACUCAUAAGAACAAACAGUAACUUUAAAUAUUCUUUGUAUAUGCUUGUAUCUUAUGUUGCAUCAUUGUACUCUUUCUCUGCAUUCCAAAUUUUUCAUUCCAC